UACGAGGGAUGCAAGCGUUAUCCGGAAUUAUUGGGCGUAAAGCGUCCGCAGGUGGUUUUGUAAGUCUGCCGUUAAAGCGUGGAGCUUAACUCCAUAUCGGCGGUGGAAACUACAAGACUAGAGUUUGGUAGGGGUCACGGGAAUUCUUAGUGUAGCGGUGAAAUGCGUAGAUAUUAAGAAGAACACCAGCGGCGAAAGCGCGUGACUGGGCCAAUACUGACACUCAUGGACGAAAGCUAGGGGAGCGAAAGGG
rnacentral:rRNA from 1 species